rnacentral:misc_RNA from 1 species
GCUGCUUCUCUCUCUUCCCUCUCACUUUUCACCAACAAGAGCCAGAACGAGCCAGAGAACAACAUGUCCUUCACCCUCCGCCUCGCACCCCUCGCCCGUCGUACCUUCACCUCCGGCAUGGCCACCUUCGCCGCUCGCAGCGGAUGUGGCUGCUCCUCGUGCUCGAACUGCGAUUGCGGCUCGAACUGCAACUGCUCGGGCUGCCACUGAGCGCGCAACUAUCCCGUUCGUUCCGCCACACGCAAUGUAGCGGAAGUCAAGUCCUCGCCGAACGUGAAAUGAAGUUAUCUGCACA